rnacentral:piRNA from 1 species
AAGCUUUCUUGAACUAAUUACUUGA